rnacentral:lncRNA from 1 species
GAUGAUCCAAAGAAGAGUCGGAGCUCGAGCAUCACAUAGUCGUCAGCUAUGGUGGCUUGUAGGCGGAUGUGUCUCACACCUAAGUUUUUGCCGCUGGACCGUGGUUACGUUCAUCCUAGCUUGGAGGCAACGGUGUGGGUGGGUAUGCAUGUGCAGGGCGAAGAAGUGGACGAAGGCCGAAGAAGCAAUCUCUGCCUCCCUAUCGCUGCGUCCUGCUCCUCAAUAUGUCACCUUAGUCAUGGCCGCCUUAUCCCUCAUGCUGCUGAUUUGAAUCUGCCCUACUCUUCUUCUCCUAGACUGCUCGAGCGCUUCAGCGGGUGCCUUGCCGACGACAGGGAAGGAAGGACCAGAGUAAGUAUAAUAUGGAAGUUCCUGUUCAAAUUAGUAGAAUAUGCUUACCAGGUGUUAGAAUUUAUAGAUAUAUACCACAAUUUUCACUACAGAUUAAAUAUAAUAUGAAAGUUCUUGUCAGUUUUCUUUGUAGUUAGUUUGCGACAAUCACAACAUGAUCAUUUGAAUAUUUUGUUGUAACAAAUCUAUUAUAGCUAUUGUUGUGAAAGAAAAAUCCUUAAAAAAUCACCCAAUAGCAACCCGAGGAAGUUAAGAGACAUAAAUGAUCCAGAUAUGGUUCCAUUAUGCUCCCUCUGUUUGAUAAUAUAUGACGUUUUCUGGCAGUACACAAUGCCAAAAACGUCUUAUAUUAUGGGACAGAAGCGAGUUUGUGAUUCUUUUGGUUAUUCUUGAUUCCACAUGCUUCAUUUGGGUGAAUAAUCCAUUGGCAUCCAAAUUUGGAGAUUAAUUCACCUAUUUAAUGUGCAUAGUCAAUGACACAUUUUUGCUAUGAUGAAUAUGUAAAUAAAUUUUGUACAAUUCCAUAAAUACACAGUUAAGCGUUUUUGUUGUAAAGAUAAUGUAGAUAAUUUUUAUAGCUUUGCAAAUAAGAUUAACCUUGGUGUAUAAAUCCGAUCAGAGUAGAGGUAGCUAUGCAAUGGUCUUGCGUCACAUCAUUAGUCUAAGGCUCUAACCACAUUCAUGGAGAAUCUAACAUCCCAACUACGCAUAUCUGUUUGUUCCGGAAGCCAAGAAAUUGAGGGACGCAGAAGAUGAACAAACCUGAGAAUUGAUGAUCGAAUGAAGAGUCGGAGCUCGAGCAUCACAUAGCCGUCAGCUAUGGUGGCUUGUGGGCGGAUGUUUCUCAGACCUAAGUUGUUGCCGCUGGACCGUGGUUACAUUCAUCCUAGCUUGGAGGAAACGGUGCGGGAAGAUAUGCAUGUGCAGGGCGAAGAAGUGGACGAAGGCCGAAGUAGCAAUCUCUGCCUCCCUAUCGCUGCGUCCUUCUCCUCAAUAUGUCACCUUAGUCAUGGCCGCCUUAUCCCUCAUGCUGCUGAUUUGAAUCUGCCCUACUCUUCUUCUCCUAGACUGCUCGAGCGCUUCAGCGGGUGCCUUCCCAACGACAGGGAAGGAAGGACCAGAGUAAGUAUAAUAUGGAAGUUCCUGUUCAAAUUAGUAGAAUAUGCUUACCAGGUGUUAGAAUUUAUAGAUAUAUACCACAAUUUUCACUACAGAUUAAAUAUAAUAUGAAAGUUCUUGUCAGUUUUCUUUGUAGUUAGUUUGCGACAAUCACAACAUGAUCAUUUGAAUAUUUUGUUGUAACAAAUCUAUUAUAGCUAUUGUUGUGAAAGAAAAAUCCUUAAAAAAUCACCCAAUAGCAACCCGAGGAAGUUAAGAGACAUAAAUGAUCCAGAUAUGGUUCCAUUAUGCUCCCUCUGUUCGAUAAUAUAUGACGUUUUCUGGCAGUACACAAUGCCAAAAACGUCUUAUAUUAUGGGACAGAAGCGAGUUUGUGAUUUUUUUGGUUAUUCUAGAUUCCACAUGCUUCAUUUGGGUGAAUAAUCCAUUGGCAUCCAAAUUUGGAGAUUAAUUCACCUAUGUAAUGUGCAUAAUCAAUGACACAUUUUUGCUAUGAUGAAUAUGUAAAUAAAUUUUGUACAAUUCCAUAAAUACACAGUUAAGCAUUUUUGUUGUAAAGAUAAUGUAGAUAAUUUUUUAUAGCUUUGCAAAUAAGAUUAACCUUGGUGUAUAAAUCCGAUCAGAGUAGAGGUAGCUAUGCAAUGGUCUUGCAUCACAUCAUUAGUCUAAGGCUCUAACCACAUUCAUGGAGAAUCUAACAUCCCAACUACGCAUAUCUGUUUGUUCCAGAAGCCAAGAAAUUGAGGUACGCAGAAGAUGAACAAACCUGAGAACUGAUGAUCGAAUGAAGAGUCGGAGCUCGAGCAUCACAUAGCCGUCAGCUAUGGUGGCUUGUGGGCGGAUGUUUCUCAGACCUAAGUUGUUGUCGCUGGACCGUGGUUACAUUCAUCCUAGCUUGGAGGCAACGGUGUGGGUGGGUAUGCAUGUGCAGGGCGAAGAAGUGGACGAAGGCCGAAGAAGCAAUCUCUGCCUCCCUAUCGCUGCGUCCUGCUCCUCAAUAUGUCACCUUAGUCAUGGCCGCCUUAUCCCUCAUGCUGCUGAUUUGAAUCUGCCCUACUCUUCUUCUCCUAGACUGCUCGAGCGCUUCAGCGGGUGCCUUGCCGACGACAGGGAAGGAAGGACCAGAGUAAGUAUAAUAUGGAAGUUCCUGUUCAAAUUAGUAGAAUAUGCUUACCAGGUGUUAGAAUUUAUAGAUAUAUACCACAAUUUUCACUACAGAUUAAAUAUAAUAUGAAAGUUCUUGUCAGUUUUCUUUGUAGUUAGUUUGCGAAAAUCACAACAUGAUCAUUUGAAUAUUUUGUUGUAACAAAUCUAUUAUAGCUAUUGUUGUGAAAGAAAAAGCCUUAAAAAAUCACCCAAUAGCAACCCGAGGAAGUUAAGAGACAUAAAUGAUCCACAUAUGGUUCCAUUAUGCUCCCUCUGUUCGAUAAUAUAUGACGUUUUCUGGCAGUACACAAUGCCAAAAACGUCUUAUAUUAUGGGACAGAAGCGAGUUUGUGAUUCUUUUGGUUAUUCUUGAUUCCACAUGCUUCAUUUGGGUGAAUAAUCCAUUGGCAUCCAAAUUUGGAGAUUAAUUCACCUAUUUAAUGUGCAUAAUCAAUGACACAUUUUUGCUAUGAUGAAUAUGUAAAUAAAUUUUGUACAAUUCCAUAAAUACACAGUUAAGCGUUUUUGUUGUAAAGAUAAUGUAGAUAAUUUUUAUAGCUUUGCAAAUAAGAUUAACCUUGGUGUAUAAAUCCGAUCAGAGUAGAGGUAGCUAUGCAAUGGUCUUGCGUCACAUCAUUAGUCUAAGGCUCUAACCACAUUCAUGGAGAAUCUAACAUCCCAACUACGCAUAUCUGUUUGUUCCGGAAGCCAAGAAAUUGAGGUACGCAGAAGAUGAACAAACCUGAGAACUGAUGAUCCAAAGAAGAGUCGGAGCUCGAGCAUCACAUAGCCGUCAGCUAUGGUGGCUUGUAGGCGGAUGUGUCUCAGACCUAAGUUUUUGCCGCUGGACCGUGGUUACGUUCAUCCUAGCUUGGAGGCAAUGGUGCGGGUGGGUAUGCAUGUGCAGGGCGAAGAAGUGGACGAAGGCCGAAGUAGCAAUCUCUGCCUCCCUAUCGCUGCGUCCUGCUCCUCAAUAUGUCACCUUAGUCAUGGCCGCCUUAUCCCUCAUGCUGCUGAUUUGAAUCUGCCCUACUCUUCUUCUCCUAGACUGCUCGAGCGCUUCAGCGGGUGCCUUCCCAACGACAGGGAAGGAAGGACCAGAGUAAGUAUAAUAUGGAAGUUCCUGUUCAAAUUAGUAGAAUAUGCUUACCAGGUGUUAGAAUUUAUAGAUAUAUACCACAAUUUUCACUACAGAUUAAAUAUAAUAUGAAAGUUCUUGUCAGUUUUCUUUGUAGUUAGUUUGCGACAAUCACAACAUGAUCAUUUGAAUAUUUUGUUGUAACAAAUCUAUUAUAGCUAUUGUUGUGAAAGAAAAAUCCUUAAAAAAUCACCCAAUAGCAACCCGAGGAAGUUAAGAGACAUAAAUGAUCCAGAUAUGGUUCCAUUAUGCUCCCUCUGUUCGAUAAUAUAUGACGUUUUCUGGCAGUACACAAUGCCAAAAACGUCUUAUAUUAUGGGACAGAAGCGAGUUUGUGAUUUUUUUGGUUAUUCUUGAUUCCACAUGCUUCAUUUGGGUGAAUAAUCCAUUGGCAUCCAAAUUUGGAGAUUAAUUCACCUAUGUAAUGUGCAUAAUCAAUGACACAUUUUUGCUAUGAUGAAUAUGUAAAUAAAUUUUGUACAAUUCCAUAAAUACACAGUUAAGCAUUUUUGUUGUAAAGAUAAUGUAGAUAAUUUUUUAUAGCUUUGCAAAUAAGAUUAACCUUGGUGUAUAAAUCCGAUCAGAGUAGAGGUAGCUAUGCAAUGGUCUUGCGUCACAUCAUUAGUCUAAGGCUCUAACCACAUUCAUGGAGAAUCUAACAUCCCAACUACGCAUAUCUGUUUGUUCCAGAAGCCAAGAAAUUGAGGUACGCAGAAGAUGAACAAACCUGAGAAUUGAUGAUCGAAUGAAGAGUCGGAGCUCGAGCAUCACAUAGCCGUCAGCUAUGGUGGCUUGUGGGCGGAUAUUUCUCAGACCUAAGUUGUUGCCGCUGGACCGUGGUUACAUUCAUCCUAGCUUGGAGGAAAUGGUGCGGGAAGAUAUGCAUGUGCAGGGCGAAGAAGUGGACGAAGGCCGAAGCAGCAAUCUCUGCCUCCCUAUCGCUGCGUCCUGCUCCUCAAUAUGUCACCUUAGUCAUGGCCGCCUUAUCCCUCAUGCUGCUGAUUUGAAUCUGCCCUACUCUUCUUCUCCUAGACUGCUCGAGCGCUUCAGCGGGUGCCUUGCCGACGACAGGGAAGGAAGGACCAGAGCAAGUAUAAUAUGGAAGUUCCUGUUCAAAUUAGUAGAAUAUGCUUACCAGGUGUUAGAAUUUAUAGAUAUAUACCACAAUUUUCACUACAGAUUAAAUAUAAUAUGAAAGUUCUUGUCAGUUUUCUUUGUAGUUAGUUUGCGACAAUCACAACAUGAUCAUUUGAAUAUUUUAUUAUAGCUAUUGUUGUGAAAGAAAAAUCCUUAAAAAAUCACCCAAUAGCAACCUGAGGAAGUUAAGAGACAUAAAUGAUCCAGAUAUGGUUCCAUUAUGCUCCCUCUGUUCGAUAAUAUAUGACGUUUUCUGGCAGUACACAAUGCCAAAAACGUCUUAUAUUAUGGGACAGAAGCGAGUUUGUGAUUUUUUUGGUUAUUCUUGAUUCCACAUGCUUCAUUUGGGUGAAUAAUCCACUGGCAUCCAAAUUUGGAGAUUAAUUCACCUAUGUAAUGUGCAUAAUCAAUGACACAUUUUUGCUAUGAUGAAUAUGUAAAUAAAUUUUGUACAAUUCCAUAAAUACACAGUUAAGCAUUUUUGUUGUAAAGAUAAUGUAGAUAAUUUUUUAUAGCUUUGCAAAUAAGAUUAACCUUGGUGUAUAAAUCCGAUCAGAGUAGAGGUAGCUAUGCAAUGGUCUUGCAUCACAUCAUUAGUCUAAGGCUCUAACCACAUUCAUGGAGAAUCUAACAUCUCAACUACGCAUAUCUGUUUGUUGCAGAAGCCACGAAAUUGAGGUACGCAGAAGAUGAACAAACCUGAGAACUGAUGAUCCAAAGAAGAGUCGGAGCUCGAGCAUCACAUAGCUGUCAGCUAUGGUGGCUUGUAGGCGGAUGUGUCUCAGACCUAAGUUUUUGCCGCUGGACCGUGGUUACGUUCAUCCUAGCUUGGAGGCAACGGUGUGGGUGGGUAUGCAUGUGCAAGGCGAAGAAGUGGACGAAGGCCGAAGAAGCAAUCUCUGCCUCCCUAUCGCUGCGUCCUGCUCCUCAAUAUGUCACCUUAGUCAUGGCCGCCUUAUCCCUCAUGCUGCUGAUUUGAACCUACCCUACUCUUCUUCUCCUAGACUGCUCGAGCGCUUCAGCGGUGCCUCGCUGACGACAGGGAAGGAAGGAUCAGAAGUGACGGCUAUAGCCCUAGGAAUUUGGAAACCAUAGGAAUUGAUCUUCUUUAUAAAACGUGUGUGGCAAGGGACGUGGAACCUGCUUCAGGGAAGACGAGAUGGAUCAUGUGAGAGAAGGGACCAGUUUUUUUUGCCAAUUGCCUAGUCCAUAUUGUCCAUGUAUUCGAAGCAUGCAAACGUGUGGCUCCUGGAGUUUGUAUUGCUCUUGGAUAUGUGUAAGCGUUUGGUUUUUUAUUUUUCCCUUUUUUGCUUUCCAAUUCGGACAUGCAUCAGUUCGUACCUGAUUGUAUUAGACUCAAACAAUACGUGUCCAAGUUUUAUUGCUCUUGGAUAUGUGUAAGCGUUUUGUUUUUUAUUUUUCCCUUUUUUGCUCUCCAAUUCGGACAUGCAUCAGUUCGUACCUGAUUGUAUUGGACUCAAACAAUACGUGUCCAAGUUUUUUUAAAACAAUAUGUGUCCAUGUAUUUCUUCCCGUGCGCCCUAGUGUUAUGGUUCUAUAUGCAUCUAACGUGGCAACAUAAAGGUUCAAUAUUGCUGGUACAUAUAUUUUUACAUGUUACAUAGAAACUUUAAAUCUCAGCCGUUGUUAUUCUAAUCAAAUGGUGUAAAAACGAUUAGCAUAUAUGGACAAACGUGAUGGCUUAUUUUACUCUUGUUUUAAUUAUAUAUAUAAUAGAUGGCCGCAGCUAGGCGUAGGUCGGGUGAUAUGCUGGAUUUGUAAACCGCGUUCGCGUCCGUCC